GGUUGAACGGAUAUUGUCCGUUUUCAAGAGAUUCAGGCUUCUGGGGUGGGAAGCU
rnacentral:ncRNA from 1 species